rnacentral:lncRNA from 1 species
GGGAUGGUUGGACCAGAUGAUCUUGGAGGCCUUUUCCAACCCUAAUGGUUCUAUGAUUAUAUGAUUCCAAACUCCAGGGUCUGACAGAUGCCCACAAGGCUGUGCCCUUGUCAGAUGUUCUUACAUCAGGUGCAAUGCCUGGUAAACACCAGAUCUUUCUGCCUAUUCUCCAGGGUUUUUCAGUUCCUCAGUCCCCAUCCAUGUGUAUGCAUCUGAGUCCCAGACCCAAGGCCACAGGCUCACACAGCAUCGUUUACAGGACGGUGGAGUAAUUAAGUUCACAUGUUCAUUUGGACUGAAUAAACUGCAGCACUCUAAGGAAGCUCGGUGGGCUCCUCUGCUGUGGAGACCAGGAGGCAGAGCACCCAGCUGCCGAGGUGGACAUCAGCCUGGUACCAGAUGCAACCAGCACAUACACCAAGUAGUGCCUCUUCUGACAGUACAUUUGAUGAUAUGGAGGUCUGUUAUCCAUUGUCUCAGAAAGCAAAAAUUGCACAACAAAGACUAUGAACUGGCAGCACUGGAAAAUCCUUCAAAGUGA